rnacentral:rRNA from 1 species
CCUACGGGAGGCAGCAGUGGGGAAUCUUGGGCAAUGGGCGCAAGCCUGACCCAGCAACGCCGCGUGAAGGAAGAAGGCUUUCGGGUUGUAAACUUCUUUUAUCAGGGACGAAGCAAGUGAAGGUACCUGCUGAAUAAGCCACGGCUAACUACGUGCCAGCAGCCGCGGUAAUACGUAGGUGGCAAGCUUUAUCCGGAUUUACGGGGUGUAAAGGGAGUGUAGGCGGGAGUGCAAGUCUGAUGUGAAAACUAUGGGCUCAACCCAUAGACUGCAUUUGAAACUGUACUUCUUGAGUGCUGGAGAGGCAAUCGGAAUUCCGGGUGUAGCGGUGAAAUGCGUAGAUAUACGGAGGAACACCAGUGGCGAAGGCGGAUUGCUGGACAGUAACUGACGCUGAGGCGCGAAAGCGAGGGGAGCAAAAAGGAUUAGAUACCCGAGUAGUC